CGUGUCAACAUCGUGCAGGGCCAUCGAAGAAUCCACAUGGCUGUUUCCAGAUGGAAACAAAUACACAGAUACUAUGAAACUUUUCCAAAAUACUGUUCUUCGGUGCUACUAGCGAACAAGUAGCAUCCGAGCUAGCUAGACCCUUGAAAUACAAGCUUAUGCGCAAGUCGUUGUAGGAUCGACUACUUAUGUCUAGCUAGCGCGAGUGCGCGCACCGGGACCACUGUUCGCUAGUAGUCCCAUACACAGAUACUAUGGAACUUUGCGAAAUACAGUUCUUCCACAUGGUGACCCUGUGUGGGAUUUGAUAACACAGGCUCAAUGGACGAAGACCCAGCAAGAAACGAAAAGCAGAUGACAAUGGCAUAAAAGAAACUUUUAUCCGAGACAUACAUCAACAUUACCAUCUUUGAAAGUUUAACCCUUUAGCAUUUAAACCAGCCAUAUCCGGCCAAAAAUAUUCUGCCUGUUUUAUGUUCAAACUGGCUAGAUCUGGUC